GACGAACCGUCCAAACGUUAUUCGGAUUCACUGGGCUUAAAGGGUGCGUAGGCGGCUCAGAAAGUAGGGUGUGAAAGCCCUCGGCUCAACCGAGGAAUUGCGCUCUAAACUACUGGGCUUGAGGAACGCAGAGGUAAGCGGAACUUACGGUGGAGCGGUGAAAUGCGUUGAUAUCGUAAGGAACACCAGGAGCGAAAGCGGCUUACUGGGCGUUUUCUGACGCUGAUGCACGAAAGCUAGGGGAGCAAACGGG
rnacentral:rRNA from 1 species